UUUUAGUAUUCCACCGUGUGACUUUGCUGAUUGACUUCUCAACGCGCACACGCAAGAAAGCCCACGGUGAUGGAGAGGAGCAUGGCGGAAAUCUUUCAUCUGCCUCGCUUCCUUUCUCGUUUGUGUGCAUCGAGUCACGUGAGCCAGUAAAACAGGCAGGUGCUGCUGCCUGAUGGGAAUGCAAACCACAUGUGAGGAGAAGCUUCUGAAGUUCACAUAUGAGGAUUUACUGGCAGCUGGGUGAAGUUACAAGCAUUUGGAUGCCGGACUGAACCCGCUGACAACCAGAUGGACCAAAACUUGUCCCACUGUCAGGGCUUUGGGAGGAAGAGCAAAACAGAUGGAGACGGAUGCACGAGGAAAAACACACUCGGCGGAGGCAGGAGAGCUCGUUUGCGGGGAAGCAGCUGAAGAAUGACUGCGGGACAAACCGGCCGACGUCAGAGGAGCGCGUAGCUGCCACAUGGUCAACACGAUAAUGACGUCAAUUAAUGCUUAACUACACGGCAACAACGUAAACAGUGAGAGAGCGGCGUUCAGUUGUUCUGUGCAGCUAACAAGGCAAGAUAUGUCUGAGGAGAACUUUUCUACAUGUCCGUCCAUGAUCAAAUGUUAGUAAAUAUUCCUUUAUUUAAAGAAAGUUUGUAGUGUUUACUUUGUAGUCGCUGUAUUCGAAGCCAUUUUAACACAUAGUUGCAAUUCUGAUUGGGUGGAAGAUUUGACAGAACACCGGGGACACAAAGAGGGCAAUAAGCCGAGUAUAGCGCGCUCCCGGCGAGCACGCGAAAGACCGAAGGGGGAUGUGCGACAAGCCGCCGGUUGUGGCAUUCUCGUUGGACAAGGAGCUUUGUCAGAAGAGCUGAAACGAAUACUCGAGUAACUCUAGUUUAAAUAGUGAUCCGAGUAAUUUUAUUCACCUUGAGGAAUCAUUUAAUUUUGCCAGCUCUAAGCAUCACCUUUUGCCCAGACUACUUUUAAUGCGGGACAACGCGCUGACGUCACGUGUGUAGAGGAAGAAAUUUAAAAAAAAAAAAAAAAAAGACUUACUGCAGCCGACAGCCGCUACAAACUAUGCCGACGUUGCUAAAAACUAUGCCCGCAUGAUGCUAGUGUGGUACCAGGUAGUGUCAGAUGCAUCUCAUAGAUAUAGCAUGCAUUUAGGACUAGAUGCGAAAUGACAGACUGAGCCACGUCUGGACAGUGUUAGUAAACAGCCGCCAUCUUUAAGCAGUAGACUUCUCAUCGCUAAUUUAUAGAUGACAUUACUGUCACUCGCUCACAUAACGUUAGCCCUUCGGAGGGCUGGGUUUUCUAUUGAUUAUGACUACUGUCGAUGCGUGGCUAACGUGUCUAACAUACAGGCUUUAUUUAAUCUUUAGAAACACAGCGCUGUAGAGUGAUGAGGGUGUAAAAGUAAAACAUAAUAAAGCUAACUGUCAGUUUUAGCUCAGUAGUUAUUGCUGUAUAAAACACCAAGUAGCACUGGACCCUAAUGUGCUCCGAUACAUCAGGUAUCAUACAUUUAUUUUGAACACUGCAAAAACUAAAAAUCCUAUCAGUACUUACGGUUUAGACGAACUCAAAACUUAACUAGAACUUAAAAAUGGCUUGACACAAAUGGAAAUUCAAUUGAAAGACAUGGGAAAAACACGUAACUUUCAAGUGAUGUGUGUUAUCAAGCGUAAUUACAUUUUUAGGUAAGAAUUUUUU